CUGUGAGAUCAUGACCUGAACCAAAGGUGGACACUUAACCGACUGAGCCACCCAGGCACCCCUGUUCCUGUCAUUCCUAAGAUUCAGACAUCCUGGUUUAAGAAUCAAGGUGCCAUCUGUGAUUUGCUCUGCCUCCCUCCUGGCGCAGAGUCAGCUGUGAUCAUCCCCAUGUGGUCUGCCUGCGGGCAGCGCCUGCCAGCUGUCACCUCUCCCUCGGCCGCACAUGCGGGCAAAUCCGCCAGUGUCAACGCCCAUGUAUCUGCCUUGGCAUGGACUCUGAAUCCUGACAUGGCAUCGAGACCCUGCUCCAGUGUCUCCUAACCCCGGACAUUCAGGCUCCCUGAAUUCAGAGGCCUGUUUGAUAGCCAACCACCCCCAUGCUGACGUCAGAGUGGACCCAGUCCCAGAGACGAUCCCUGGGCUCCGGAGCACGUGACGCUCAGGUUUCUGACAAAUGCUUGUGUUUGGGAAGAAAGCCAUCCAAAGGUGAGAGUGAAGGAGACCACUUUGAUUUUGAAGCCAGGAAAAAUAAAGAUAGUAGUUUUCAAGGAGCAGAAAUCA